GUGAGGAAUAUUGGUCAAUGGGCGGGAGCCUGAACCAGCCAAGUCGCGUGAAGGAAGAAGGAUCUAUGGUUCGUAAACUUCUUUUGCAGGGGAAUAAAGUGCAGGACGUGUCCUGUUUUGUAUGUACCCUGAGAAUAAGGAUCGGCUAACUCCGUGCCAGCAGCCGCGGUAAUACGGAGGAUCCGAGCGUUAUCCGGAUUUAUUGGGUUUAAAGGGUGCGUAGGUGGUUUGAUAAGUCAGCGGUGAAAGUUUGCAGCUUAACUGUAAAAAUGCCGUUGAAACUGUAGGACUUGAGUGUAAAUGAGGUAGGCGGAAUGCGUGGUGUAGCGGUGAAAUGCAUAGAUAUCACGCAGAACUCCGAUUGCGAAGGCAGCUUACUAAGCUACAACUGAUACUGAAGCACGAAAGCGUGGGGAUCAAACAGGAUUAGAAACCCCGGUAGUCC
rnacentral:rRNA from 1 species